rnacentral:misc_RNA from 1 species
AAACUGCGAUAAAUAGCGUGAAUUGCAGACGCUUUGAACGUUAAAGUUUCGAACGCACAUUGCGCCGUAGGAUUCCUACCCUGCGGCACAUCUGGUUGAGGGUCGUGAUCAAACACAGCAUGACUGAAUGGCUGUAAUGAAAGUGUAUUCGGCGAAUCACGAGUUCGGCCCACCCGCCUCGGGUCGAACGUGUUUUGCCAUAAUGCUCUAGAGGACGACUCCGCUUCCUUAAUUGGAGGUGUGGGUCGCCUACCACACGGAUGAUCUAUUAGCCGAAGCUAAAGAUCCCGGUCACUGGGUAUCAUGCUUUUAUAUACUCGGUGGCGUCAGGGAUACGGCUAGUACGCUUCAUACGUGCUUGGUUCAUGAGAGUUUUCGCUCUCCCGACCUCAACUCAGGU